UACGUAGGUGGCAAGCGUUGUCCGGAUUUACUGGGCGUAAAGAGCGCGCAGGCGGUCGUUCAAGUCGCGUGUGAAAGCCCCGGCUCAACUGGGAGGUCACGCGAUACUGAUCGACUGGAAGGCAGGAGAGGGUAGUGGAAUUCCUGGUGUAGCGGUGGAAUGCGCAGAUAUCAGGAGGAACACCGGUGGCGAAGGCGGGUCUCUGGCAGUAACUGACGCUGAGGAGCGAAGCGUGGGGAGCGAACAGGA
rnacentral:rRNA from 1 species